rnacentral:rRNA from 1 species
UUACACAUGCAAGUCGAACGGCAGCACGGGAGCUUGCUCCUGGUGGCGAGUGGCGAACGGGUGAGUAAUAUAUCGGAACGUGCCCUAGAGUGGGGGAUAACUAGUCGAAAGAUUAGCUAAUACCGCAUACGAUCUACGGAUGAAAGUGGGGGAUCGCAAGACCUCAUGCUCGUGGAGCGGCCGAUAUCUGAUUAGCUAGUUGGUGAGGUAAAGGCUCACCAAGGCAUCGAUCAGUAGCUGGUCUGAGAGGACGACCAGCCACACUGGGACUGAGACACGGCCCAGACUCCUACGGGAGGCAGCAGUGGGGAAUUUUGGACAAUGGGGGCAACCCUGAUCCAGCAAUGCCGCGUGAGUGAAGAAGGCCUUCGGGUUGUAAAGCUCUUUUGUCAGGGAAGAAACGGUGAGGGCUAAUAUCCUUUGCUAAUGACGGUACCUGAAGAAUAAGCACCGGCUAACUACGUGCCAGCAGCCGCGGUAAUACGUAGGGUGCAAGCGUUAAUCGGAAUUACUGGGCGUAAAGCGUGCGCAGGCGGUUAUGCAAGACAGAUGUGAAAUCCCCGGGCUCAACCUGGGAAUUGCAUUUGUGACUGUAUGGCUAGAGUGUGUCAGAGGGGGGUAGAAUUCCACGUGUAGCAGUGAAAUGCGUAGAUAUGUGGAGGAAUACCGAUGGCGAAGGCAGCCCCCUGGGAUAACACUGACGCUCAUGCACGAA